rnacentral:tRNA from 1 species
UCAGUGGCCGAGUGGAUAACGCGAUGGCAUUUGAAGCGAAAGGUACUGGGUUCGAGUCCCAGAGUGA